CAGAGAAUAGUUUAUUUAAAAUUUUAAUUUUGGAGAUUAAAGAUAGGAGUAUUUUCCUUUCCCUGA
rnacentral:tRNA from 1 species